rnacentral:rRNA from 1 species
AGUAAAUAGAUACCCAGGUAGUCCACGCCGUAAACGAUGUCGACUUGGAGGUUGUGCCCUUGAGGCGUGGCUUCCGGAGCUAAACGCGUUAAGUCGACCGCCUGGGGAGUACGGCCGCAAGGUUAAAACUCAAAUGAAUUGACGGGGGCCCGCACAAGCGGUGGAGCAUGUGGUUUAAUUCGAUGCAACGCGAAGAGCCUUACCUACUCUUGACAUCCAGAGAACUUAGCAGAGAUGCUUUGGUGCCUUCGGGAACUCUGAGACAGGUGCUGCAUGGCUGUCGUCAGCUCGUGUUGUGAAAUGUUGGGUUAAGUCCCGCAACGAGCGCAACCCUUAUCCUUUGUUGCCAGCGGUUAGGCCGGGAACUCAAAGGAGACUGCCAGUGAUAAACUGGAGGAAGGUGGGGAUGACGUCAAGUCAUCAUGGCCCUUACGAGUAGGGCUACACACGUGCUACAAUGGCGCAUACAAAGAGAAGCGACCUCGCGAGAGCAAGCGGACCUCAUAAAGUGCGUCGUAGUCCGGAUUGGA